CCGCGUCGAGCUCUACAUUUCUACUGGAACAAGUUCAUAGGUUGUGAAUAAAUAAUUGGAGCUUGAAAUUGUGAAUAUUGGAACUUGGAGAAAGCUAAGCUUAGGGUUUGUUGAGUUUUGAGGGGCUGCCUUGAUUUUGAAUAAAUAGCUUUGGUCGUUACGUAGAAAUCGGCCAAGAUGCAGGUUGAGAGACAUCUCGUUAGGUGUCUGGACUCUUGAAACGAAGUUGUUACUAGGCUAUUUUGUUGUAUAGUGAUGUAUAUAUAUGUACUUAGCUUUCUCUUCGCAUAACGUAUUCUUUUGAUCCUCUUAGAGGUUUAUGGAGAGGCAGGGUUAUGUUUAUGUGCAUUUAGGUUUUGGAUAUGUAUGUAUAUAUGUGUAAAUAUUCUCCGGCGAGUCUUGACUUCGCGGGAUGAGUUAGGAGCUUGUUAUUCUGUA